UACGGAAGGCAGCAGUGGGGAAUAUUGCACAAUGGGCGCAAGCCUGAUGCAGCCAUGCCGCGUGUAUGAAGAAGGCCUUCGGGUUGUAAAGUACUUUCAGCGGGGAGGAAGGCGAUGUGGUUAAUAACCGCGUCGAUUGACGUUACCCGCAGAAGAAGCACCGGCUAACUCCGUGCCAGCAGCCGCGGUAAUACGGAGGGUGCAAGCGUUAAUCGGAAUUACUGGGCGUAAAGCGCACGCAGGCGGUCUGUUAAGUCAGAUGUGAAAUCCCCGGGCUUAACCUGGGAACUGCAUUUUGAAACUGGCAGGCUUGAGUCUCGUAGAGGGGGUAGAAUUCCAGGUGUAGCGGUGAAAUGCGUAGAGAUCUGGAGGAAUACCGGUGGCGAAGGCGGCCCCUGGACGAAGACUGACGCUCAGGUGCGAAAGCGUGGGGAGCAAACAGGAUUAGAUACC
rnacentral:rRNA from 1 species